rnacentral:lncRNA from 1 species
CAAGACAUAAUUACAUAUUACAUGGAGUGGUUAAAUAUGGCUUCCUUUUAAAGAGUAGCUUUGGACUUAGAAUAGCCAAAUAUUUAAAUAACCUAUUUUGGUUGGUCUUCUUCUUUAGGAAAUACAUUCAGACUUUAAUAUAAAGAAAAAUAAAUCAUGAUUCAUGAUUAAAAAGGUAUUUGAAAUAGAAUGAAGUGAUGAAAUGAAUCACUCAAAAUCUGGGAAGGAAUUGGGCAGAGGGAGCUGAAGUAGGAAUAUUCUUAGCAUGAUCAAGGAACAGCUAGAAAGGUCAAGGUAGCAAGCAAAAUUAUUGCUUAGGUACUUUUAAGUGGCCACUUUUCCAUUUAGAUGACAAUGAGUCUUUGAAUGAAAUCAUCUACUAUGAUCAUACAAACUAUAUUUUAUCCAAUCCCCUCCAUUUGGAAGCAUUUAUUGUUCACAUGUCCAUGAUCACAAUCUGCAAAGAAAACAUAGUCCUACUUAGAAGAUAUCUCAGUUAAAACUACCAGUCAAAUCGCUGAAAACUUUGAACUUACCCAAAUAAAAUUGCAUCUAGUAGCAAAAUAGACAUGUAUGGUUAUUUGCUAAGGCAUUAGAGAAAGAAUGUGCAUCUUACCCUAGUUCUUGAAGGUUUAAUCAUUUCCACAUGUAAAGAUCAAACAACCUGACACUUUACAUACAAGAAUUAUGCAGAAUACCUCUUUCCCAACCCCAGAAACUUCUGCUUCAUAAUAACUCUUAGCAUUCUUAAUCGUUGUUUUAUUCUUAUACUUAUCCUGGAGUUUAUUCUCAUUAUUCUUGCUACAUAUUCUUUCUUUAGGUUAAGAACACUGGACUUCAGCCCCUCUCUCAUUAUUUAGUUCUGGUAUUUCUCUCUGGUUCACUAGGGGAACGGCAUAGUUUCCAAGCCCUGUUUCGGUGUCUGGACAUUUUCUGGCUCAGCUUAUUCCUCAUAACUUCUUUAGCAGUUCAACCAUCAUCCAAUCAAAGAGCCAUCACACAUGGAAGAAGGUAGAAUUGCUCCUUUUGCCACUCAGUCUUUUUCUGUCUCAGCAAUCUUUAUACUGGGUUUUAUAGCUAUGAACAUGGUGUUGAACUGUGAUAGUUGGUUAUUUUUGAGAUUGGGUUAUGUAGAAUAAGUGGGAAUUACAUAGAGUGGCCAUAUUCUCCAGGAAGCUUGGAACAGUUAGUCCAACUCCACUAUCGGGGAAAAGCCUCAUGGCAGAAUGAAAUGGAAGUAGAUUUGGUCAUUUGUAAGUUUCCUUAGAGCCCUGACAUCCUAUGGCUUGAUGAUUCUAAGUAGAGAUAUAAGAGACUGUUUUAAACAUUUUACUUAAAGAAGCUUUGACUUCCUUGUUUCUCAAACUAUAGAUGAAAGGAUUCAACAUGGGGAUGACUACUGUGUAAGACAGACACCACUUUGUCUUGAUCCAUUGAGUAGCUGGAGCUGGGACGCAGAGAUACAUGAACAGGAUUGUCCCAAAGAAGAUAGUGACCACCGCCAAGUGGGAAGCACAGGUGGAGAAGGCCUUGUGCCUCCCUUCUGCAGAGUGGAUCUUCAAGAUGGCAGCAAGGAUGUAGAGACAGGAAACAAGAAUCAGUAGGAGACAGCUCAAUUCAUUAAAACUGGCAAAGGCAAAAAUGACAACCUCAUUGAUGUGUGUAUCAGAACAAGAGUUUCAGGAGGGGUGGAAUAUCACAAAAAAAAUAGUUAAUGAUAUUGGAGUGGCAGAAUGACAGCUGGAAGGUGAAGCCAGUGUGAAUGGCAGCAUUUACAAAGCCCAAAAGAUAUGUGGCUAACACCAGGAGGGCACUGAGGUGGGGUGACAUCAGGACUGUAUAAAGCAGAGGCUUGCAGAUGGCCACAUAACAGUCAUAGGCCAUGACAGCCAACAGAAAACCCUCAAUGCCAGCAAAGGAGCCAAAAAAGAAGAAUUGAGUGGCACAUUCAUUAAAUGAAAUGACUGGGUUCUCCACCCAGAAAUUUAUCAGCAUAUUAGGGGCAAUGACAGAAGAAUAACAGAAGUCAACAAGGCACAAGUUACUGAGGAAAAAGUACAUUGGAGUAUGGAGAUGUGAGUCAAUCUUGAUUAAUAGAAUCAUGCCAAGAUUUCCAACAACGGUGAACAUAUAGAUGAGAAGAAACAACACAAAAAGAAGACACUGUAAUUCUGGGUGAUCCGUGAAUCCCAGGAUAAUAAAUCCAGACAGUGGUGUAAAGUUUCUCAUAUCUUAGUCUCAGAAUAGAAGACUCAUUUGCUGGGAUGAGAAACAAACCAUGAUAGAUAUGUUAAUAUGCCAAUCUGCCUCACUAUAGUAACAACUGUAUUAGCUAUAUGUAUCUAUGUGUAAGUAUACAUCUAUAUGAGCCCCACAGCAUAACGUGCUAAUCCUCAAAUAUACACAAUAAAAUUUACUUAAGAGAGGAACAAAUGAAAUAAAUUAUACCCCAAAAACCUAGGAUAUUAAAUAGUUCAUUCUUGACUGUAAAUAAGAUUACUUCUAAGAUGUUCUGUGUUCAUAACUACUCUUUAUUUUAUAUGGAGGUAAAGAACAAAAGAUCCCUUAAGUAAACUCAAUUACCUAUUUUAUUUAAAAUAGUGUGUGUGUGUGUGUGUGUGAGAGAGAGAGAGAGAGAGAGAGAGAGGCUUUGAUGAUAUCCUACUCUAUUCUCCAACUUUUCUCUCUUCCUAUUCCGAUCCUACUGCUUUCAUCACCUGUCCUCCCAUUCCUCUGCCAUUCCCUUAGCAAUUAAACAUACGGACACAGUUAUAUAUAUGC